CGUGAUUUGAUAUAAAUACCACGAUUGGAAGUGCCUCCGUUCUUCUGCACCUCUCUAGCACCUUAAUGUGCCAGCCGUGUCCAAAGCGAGCCAUCUGCUUAAGGCAAGGUCUCUGCUCCCAAGGCCAGGUUUCUGUUCUUUUCUGUUAUCAGCUAUCCCAAUAAGCCAAAUUCUGUGAAUUCUGGACCAGAAGCCAGUAUUAUCAUUUUGUCUACAUGAAGCACACAGUGCUUUGAGAUUUAGAGCAACUUUGUGAUUUAAAAUAACUUGGCAUGUUUAGUGAAAACAUAAAAUCUGGAAAAAAAAUAGUACUCACACUUUUUCACAAAGACUGUAUAUACAGUUUAGUGAAGUACCAACAUGUUUCAGUUCCCAACAGAUCACAUCGAGAGGGGCAUUACAAGUGUUUUGUAGCUUCCUUGCUCUGUUGUGUGCAUACUUGCACUGUGUAGGGUUUGGGCAGCAUGGCUGACUGAAGUAUGCAAAAUUACACAAAGUGUCAUUUUCUGGUACAAGUACAUGACUUCAGGAGUUUGCAUUAUUGAAAGGAGGAUCCAAGAGACCCACACGCAGUUAAGAAAAAUACCUCUUCCAUAUGAAAACAAAACCAAGAUCCCAUAAUGGAGCAGGGGUAAGAACCACUGAAGGAGACAAAGCAGGUACUUUUACUAGAUACUGAUAAAACAGCCCCAUCAACUGGUAGAGAAGGCCUGGGGAGCACAGUGGCACCAGGUUUGCACCAGAGGCGCGCACGUUCCUAACAAAGACUGCCGGGUAGGAGGGCUGAGCGCUCGGCACCUGGGAAGCGACAGGUCUAUGUAAGGCCACGACAACAUUUCUGAAACUAUCUGAAGCUGCAGAGUCCACACCCAGGCCCGUUAUGAAUCUGAUGGUAUCACACGGUGAUUCUGCAGGCCGCGGAACCAGUCGGCCUUUUCUCACAGCUGGACAAAACUCAGGAAAGUCUGCUAGUCAGGAAAAAAGGGAAGAGAAAGGAAAUGAAGCGCCUCCGCAGAGGCCUGGGAUGCACCGCUCAGUAUUUGGGUUGGUUCUGUGGGUAUUUGUUCUGGCAUCUGCACGCUGUUGUGCUGGGCAGGGUAUCAACAACUGUGCAGCACACGGAGCAUUUUCCCAUCCGCUGUUACAGAGCAAACCCGGGGGCAACCUCAGGCUCCUAACACCAGGUUCCCUCACUGGAAGGUUACAAAUUCAAGUUAAGGAAAUAACGCAUAUUCUCUGCCUCUCGUAA
rnacentral:lncRNA from 1 species